GAGGAAUGUAUAGCAAUAGCUAAUUGUACCAAUACUUUUUUUGGUACAAUAUCGACUAUGUCGAAUAAAGUUCUGGGUAGAAUUAUGAUAAUGACAUUAUCUACCUAUGUGUCUUGACCAAAUUACGUGCCAGCAGUCGCGGUAAUACGUAGAAGACUAGUGUUAUUCAUCUUUAAUAGGUUUAAAGGGUACCUAGACGGUAAAUAAAGCUUUAGCAAGGACUAAUUUACUAGAGUUACUUACGAGGGGGCAUUAAAGUACUAGUGGUGUAGAGAUAAAAUUCGCUGAUACCUUUUUUCGAGAGAAAAGUUAUGGCACAGAUAUAGGCGAAAGCAUCCCCUUAUGUGAUAACUGACGUUGAGGGACGAAGGCUUUGUAUAGCGAACAGGAUUAGAUACCCUGGUAGUCGAAGCAGAAAAUGAUGAGUGUCAUAGAUUAGAUAGUCAUUUAUUCUAUAAAUGAAAAUGUAAGCACUCCACCUCAAGAGUAAUUUGGCAACAUUGGAACUGAAAUCAUUAGACCGUUUCUGAAACCAGUAGUGAAGUAUGUUGUUUAAUUUGAUAAUCCGCAAAAAACCUUACCACAACUUGAAUAUUUAUACUAUUUUUUAUCAAUACAAGCGUUGCACGGCUGUCUUCAGUUAAUGUCGUGAGACCAUGGUUAGCUCCAUUAAAUUAACGUAAACCCUUGCUUUAUUUUUAUAUAAAGUAGUUCUCCGCUAUAUUGGAUAAGAUAACAGGGACU
rnacentral:rRNA from 1 species